rnacentral:rRNA from 1 species
UACGUAGGGUGCAAGCGUUAAUCGGAAUUACUGGGCGUAAAGCGUGCGCAGGCGGUGAUGUAAGACAGAUGUGAAAUCCCCCGGGCUCAACCUGGGAACUGCAUUUGUGACUGCAUCGCUGGAGUGCGGCAGAGGGGGGAUGGAAUUCCGCGUGUAGCAGUGAAAUGCGUAGAUAUGCGGAGGAACACCGAUGGCGAAGGCAAUCCCCUGGACCUCGU